GGGAUUCUGAGCCACAAGUUCCUUUUGUGGCCGCGGGAGGGCGUUAUUUGAUUCUCCAUGCCUUUUGUUCCAACCCUACCACUGCUUUUGGAGUGUUUAAAGCACUAAAUUAGGUCAUCAGUGGACCAAAUGGAGAGAGAAGAAGAAAGGGGAGGCCUCCUUCAAUCCUACUCAGCAUCCAAUAUCUCCUUCCCUGCUCCUCUCUGUAGCUCACUUCCCUGAUUUGACAAUAUGGGGUUUUGUGGAUAGUUCUUCACCUUUAUUAAGUUGAUGAGUAGCAGACUAAAGAACAAGGCCUCUAAGCUUAGCUUGUGGAAGCUGACAAACCUCCAGUUUUUAUUGUAUUUUUGUACUAUUAUACUCUGAUCACAUGUGUCUCUUAUGUGUCAAGAUGAGGACAUCUCAUCUCCAUAGCCUUAUGAGGUUUAAAGUAAUCUGAUCCUGUGAUAUAUUUCUUUUCCUGUGCAUAAAAUGUACAAUAUAGCAGGAGUGCAACUCCACUAGACAUUCAGCAAUAUGAACCCAAGACUUGUCACAUUGAGUUGCAAUGCAAAGCAGCUCAAGUGUUCAUCAAGAUUCAAGUUAUCACAUGCUCAUUGUAACUAUAAACACUAAGGAGGAUGGCAUU